UGAGAAGCCUGAUUCUGGGAUCUGUGGA
rnacentral:piRNA from 2 species